CCCGAAGGGUUCUGAGGGGUUUGGGGGGCUCUGAGGAGCAUCUGGGGGAGUUUUUGGGGGGUCCUGAGGGGAUUUUGGGGGUUUUGAGGGUCCUGAAGGAUUCUGAGGGAUUUGGAGGAGUCUGAGGAGGAUUUGGGGGAGUUUUUGGGGCAUCUUGAUGACAUUUUUGGGCUAUUUGGGGUCUUUUUGGGGAGGAUUUGGGGGAUUUCGGGAUCAUUUCGAGGCACUUCGGGUUCAUUUCUCUCCAAUUUGGGACAUUCUGGGCUCAGUCCUCUUUAUUUUGAGGCAUUCUGAGCUCAUUUCUCCCAAUUUUGAGGCAUUCUGAGCUCAUUUCUCUUAAUUUUGGGACAUUUUGGGUUCAUUUCUCUCAUUUUUUCUCAAUUUCGGGCUAAUUUCUCUCAAUUUUUCUCAACUUUGGGCUCAUUUCUCUCCAAUUUGGGACAUCCUGAGCUCAUUUCUCUCCUUUUCAGGCUCAUUUCUCUCCAUUUUUCUCAAUUUUGGGCUCAUUUCUCUCCACUCUUGGACAUUUUGGGCUCAUUUCUCUCCAUUCUGGAAUAUUUCGGGCUCAUUUUUCUCAAUUUUUCUCAAUUUCGGGCUCAUUUCUCUCAAUUUUGGGCUCAUUUCUCUGCACUGUGGGACAUUUUGGGCUCAUUUCUCUCCAUUUCGGGCUCAUUUCUCUCAAUUUUUCUCAGUUUCGGGCUCAUUUCUCUGCAUUUUGGGAGAUCCUGAGCUCAUUUCUCUCCUUUCUGGGACAUUUUGGGCUCAUUUUGGGCCAUUUUCUCCUCAUUUCUCUCCAUUUUCACCUCAUUCCCCUCCAUUCUCAACCCUUUUAAUCCCCUUUUUUCCCCAAUUUCUCCCUUUUUUCCCCCAGAUGCUGCCGUGCUCGCUGUGGCCGCUGCUGGCUCUGGCCCUCGGGGGGUCCCCCCACGCCCCCCACCCCCAUUUCGGGGGUCCCGAGUCCCACGGCCACGACCCCGAGGGGCUUUUUGGGUACCACGCCGCCAUUUGGGGGCGCAGGAGGCGCGGGAGCAGCGGGAGCUGCCCCCGGAGGAGUCCCGCAGGAGGCUGGGGCUGCUGGUGGGGCUGAUGGACUCGGACUCCUCCGGGGCCGUGUCCCGGGAGGAGCUGCGGGCCUGGAUCCUGCGCAGGCACCGCGGCUCCNNNNNNNNNNNNNNNNNNNNNNNNNNNNNNNNNNNNNNNNNNNNNNNNNNNNNNNNNGAUUUUUUGAGGAUUUUUUGAGGAUUUUUUGGGAUUUUUUUAGGGUAAUUUUGGGGGAUUUUUUGCGAUUUUUUGGGGAUUUUUUGGGGUAUUUUUUGGGGAGUUUUGGGAUUUUUUUAGGGUUUUUUGGAUUUUUUGGGGGAUUUUUUAGAGUCAUUUUCGAGGAUUUUUUUAGGAUUUUUUGGGAUUUUUUAGGGUAAUUUUGGGGGAUUUUUUUGGGAUUUUUUUAGGGAAAUUUUUAGGAUUUUUUUGGAUUUUUUGAGGAUUUUUUGAGGAUUUUUUGGGAUUUUUUAGGGUAAUUUUGAAGGUGUUUUUGCCAUUUUUUGGGGGAUUUUUUUUGGAUUUUUGGGGAUUUUUUAGGGUAAUUUUGGAGGAUUUUUUCCGAUUUUUUGGGGUAUUUUGGGGGAUUUUUGGGAUUUUUUUAGGGUUUUUUUUGGAUUUUUUGGGGGAUUUUUUAGGGUAAUUUUCGAGGAUUUUUUGCGAUUUUUUUGGGAUUUUUUUGGGUAUUUUGGGGAGAUUUUUGGGAUUUUUUUAGGGUUUUUAGGGAUUUUUUUAGGGUUUUUUUUGAGUUUUUGGGGGAUUUUU
ensembl:lncRNA